GCUGGCGCUCAGGCCCAAUCUCGCGAGAGCUGGGCCUUGAGCGGCCGCGCCAGAAUUGCGGCGGCGAGACUUGGCCCCGCGGCCCUGGCUCGCCGGGCUGUUGGGAGGUCCUCCUCCCUGCCGGGAUCCGCUGUGCCCGCUCGUCCGCACCUCUGCCCCAGUCACACCUCUACGGCCGGUCAGGUGGCUUAUUGAACGCCUGCGUUAGGUGCCAGGCCACGGAGUUGGAGCUGGGGACGCGGAAAUCAGUUAGUCGUGGCUGCUGGCUUCAAGGAACGCCCGUCCUAGCGAAGGAGAGAAACUUGUACAGACGGUGCGAUUAGGGUUUUAAGAGAGGUGUGGCCCGAAGGCUGCUGUGACCCAGUUGAGGGGGUGGUCAGAGACAGCCGCGAAAGGAAUCGGAGCAGUGCUUCGAGGGGUAGGAGUGCUUUGCGGGGAAGCAGAGGCCUUUCUAGGCAAAGACGCAGGCGGUGGAGAGUACGUGGUGUAGUGGAGCAGUGAGUGGCGAGUCCAGAGAAGGGGUCAUAAACCCAAAUGCCGACGGUGGUGGCGUAUAAAUCAUCUUAUGCAGGCUGGGCACAAGGAAUGUGGAGGAUGGGAGCGAUGGGAGGCGCUAAGCAUGAACGAGGGAGCGAUCAUUUUCUCUGAAAGGAAUGAUGGGUGCUCAACAUCCGGCCAGUUUCCCUGGGAGAAGGAGCGCCCGGUGUUGAUUAUCUUCGCUCUUUCCAGGAAAAUACAGAAGUCUUGAUGAAAAAUACAGCAAAGCCAGAGAAAGGUCCGCGGGAGGAGGUGAAAGUGAUCUCACAGAAGGAUUGAGAACAAGAUGAAAACAUUAUGAUGCUUCACACUGAGCUGUUAAGAGGAAAUAUAAUUAUCAGCACUGCACCUGAAACUUUUAAUUGGGAACGCAGAGGAAGAGGAGAUCCUUCCACAAAAUAGCCAUGGAUGCUGUUGCCAGAUGUCCUGUCCUGCAUUAAAUGAUCCAUGAGUCUGAUCUGUGCGAGGGGAAGGAGGAAGGUUGGAAAUCACUUAGCUCAGAAUCUGCAGUGGAAUUGCUACAGUAGACUCAAACAUGAUUUGAACAUCCCUAGCUGUGGGAUUUGGUGACCAGGCUCCUGAGGGAGGAUGACACAGCAUAGGGAAUGGCACGGACAGCCUGCCUUGCUGUAUAGAGAGCAGAGAUACAAAGUCCUUGUCGAGGUCACCGGUGCUGAGAAUACUCUUAAUGUAAAUGGACUUGGGUGACUUCCUUACGUGGAGGUAAGGCAGCCCUAGGGAAAGAAGAGAGUGAAAAUGGGAGAGCAGAGUGCAGCUGGAUGUCCUUGCUAAUUAGGCCUUACCUUUAUAUAGACAGCUUUUGUUUUUCUUUUCAGAGCACUUUCAUGUAUAUUAACUUAUGCACGGAAGUCAAAUUAUGAAACAAGGUACAGGAGGGGCGCCUGGCCAGUUUGGUAUAGCAUGUGGCUUUUGCUCUUAGGGUUGUGUGUUCGAGUCCCACGUUGAAGGUAGAAAUCACAUAAAAAAAUAAAAUCUCUCUCUCUUUUUUUUUUCCCCCAUGAGCAG